UACGGGGGGGGCAAGCGUUGUUCGGAAUUACUGGGCGUAAAGGGCUCGUAGGUGGCCAACUAAGUCAGACGUGAAAUCCCUCGGCUUAACCGGGGAACUGCGUCUGAUACUGGAUGGCUUGAGUUUGGGAGAGGAAUGCGGAAUUCCAGGUGUAGCGGUGAAAUGCGUAGAUAUCUGGAGGAACACCGGUGGCGAAGGCGGCAUUCUGGACCAAUACUGACGUUGAGGAGCGAAAGCUAGGGGAGCAAACGGG
rnacentral:rRNA from 1 species